CUAGAGCCACUUCGUAGUCUGUGCUAGAGCGGUAGAGCCCCGUUGAAUCCACGCAUCGGACCGGUUAUUGGAAGAUCGUUUUGUGAAAAGGCAGAAGGCACGUUGUUCGUUUCCUAACUCACCCACCAUCUUUCCUCAGGACUAUUUUGACUAUCAGUAUUAGCAUUCGAUCAUCAGUUGGGAAGAACAGAAAAUGUUUAUUCAUUACAUGCCAGACAAUUUUUGUGGUUUGGACUGGGAACUGUAAAUGUUGGUAGCCGUUAAGCUUUUCUCUUUUCAUUUGGACUUCUGUACCGUGUCUGGAUGUGAAUAGUAGUGUGCAUCUUUGUAACACAUGAGCUAGAUCAGAUUCCAGGACAAGAAGUCAAAGUUUAUACAAAGUAAUUUGUGUGACUUUGUAAAGUUGCAUCUUGGGUCCACACUGUCUUGAGCAAAAAAUACUCUAUAGAGUAUCUGCUGAUUAUUAUCUUGACAUAGUUCAUUGGAAUCUAAUACAGUAUGAUGUUAGUGUCCUAACACUAAAAUUCAUGAAGAAACUGCAUGUUUUCUCUUGGAAGUAUUUUGAGAAUUUUACCAAAAUGCAUCUUCCGCUCAGUAAAUAGUAGAGUAAUGGACUGAACCCAGAAAAUUUUUGAAUUGUUGAACUUAAUACAAUAUUUCUGCCUCGAUCAAGAUCGUACAAGGAUGUAAAGUGAACGUGGAAGCCUUGCCUCUAGAAGAUGAAAUCCAGAACAGAACCAGAACUUUCUGAAUUCGUGACAAGGCCAUUAGGACCAGGGUUUGCAGAAAAGAACUACAUCCAAGAACAUCCUAUUAGUCAUGUUCAAAUGCGGGUCCAAAGGAUCUUACAUUAAUACAUCUAAAAUGAUAGCGUGCGCCAGCCAGCAAGCCUUAAAUGGCAAAAAAGUGCCUAACGGUUUUUUAAAUCGCUGUUUUCCCAAAUACGCCGACAGAAUUUUUUCCCCAUGCAAUGUGUGGACGUGAGGUUUUGGUGGAUACUGCCGUAAAGACGGUAGAAACCGGGUACAAGCUAUGACGACUUGUGAAGUACUAUUCGACUGUAAGGAAUUCCACCAGUAAGAUCAUUGAGUUUGCUAUGGAGGCGAUGGUUUGGACUCACCUACACGGAAGCCAAAGUUCUUCCUGUGGAUUUUCAAAGAGCACUUAGUCACAUCAAAGCCGCCUUCCUUUAUGCCGAUGAAGAUCUUUUAAUACAAUUAUGGAGACGAUUCUUUCAAAUUGCUUGGGGUCGAAUUCAAACAAAAUCUUGGAUAAUAAUAGUGGAUUUGGAAAGGAUACUUACAUUUUUGCCGUAUUGGAAAUGAACACAUCUGCCGAAGCUAAAAUGUUCUUUUAACAUGGAUAAUUGGGUGUUCAUGUCAAGUCAUGUUUAGUUUUCACAAGGAAAUCAGACUAGAAUCUUUCCAACUAUAAGACUAUAGAAGGAUUGCACAGAUUAUUUUUUGAAGUAAGUUCCAUAAGCAAAUAUUUUUCUGUUGAUUUGUGUGUUUUUUCUCUUUAGGUAAUUGACGUAAUAAAUCGAAAAUGAGGUUUCAGAAUGAGGCUGGAGUUUCUAUCAAUGCUGACGUUUGGAAACACGAUCGGAAAUACCCAUGGAAUGAAAAACAUUCUCUCGUGUCAUGGUAUUUGUCGUACAUAAAUUGAAGUGCAUAUCUGGGCUCUCUUCUUUUCUGUGGCCCCGUUUCCCCUUGACUCGUAAUAAGCCCGUAGGGGGUCAUGCCCCUACUGUACGGUAUAUAUAAAAACAACAUAUAUCGAG
rnacentral:lncRNA from 1 species